AGACUGGGAUAACAUUCGGAAACGAAUGCUAAUACCGGAUACGCGGCUUGGUCGCAUGACCGAGCCGGGAAAGAUGGAGCAAUCUAUCACUUACAGAUGGACCCGCGGCGCAUUAGCUAGUUGGUGAGGUAACGGCUCACCAAGGCGACGAUGCGUAGCCGACCUGAGAGGGUGAUCGGCCACACUGGGASUGAGACACGGCCCAGACUCCUACGGGAGGCAGCAGUAGGGAAUCUUCCGCAAUGGACGAAAGUCUGACGGAGCAACGCCGCGUGAGUGAUGAAGGUUUUCGGAUCGUAAAGCUCUGUUGCCAGGGAAGAAUGCUUGGGAGAGUAACU
rnacentral:rRNA from 1 species